rnacentral:misc_RNA from 1 species
ACAAACUUGGUCAUUUAGAGGAAGUAAAAGUCGUAACAAGGUUUCCGUAGGUGAACCUGCGGAAGGAUCAUUACCGUGCCGCGGGGCGCGUUCACGCGUGUCCCCGCAACCGGCCACCCGUGCUUACCUGACCUUCUGUUGCCUCGGCGGGCCCGCUCCCCCUAAGCCCCCUAGUUUUCUAGGGGCUUUAGGGAGCCGUCGGGGGGGUUAUCCUCCCUGGUCCGCGCCCGCCAGAGGACCUCUUUUGAACUCUUAUGAAGCCCCAGUGAAGUCUGAGCUUUAAGCAAAAUUAGUUUUAAAACUUUCAACAACGGAUCUCUUGGCUCUCGCAUCGAUGAAGAACGCAGC